rnacentral:rRNA from 1 species
AACGAACGCUGGCGGCAGGCUUAACACAUGCAAGUCGAGCGCCUCGCAAGAGGAGCGGCAGACGGGUGAGUAACGCGUGGGAAUCUACCGUGCCCUACGGAAUAGCUCCGGGAAACUGGAAUUAAUACCGUAUACGCCCUUCGGGGGAAAGAUUUAUCGGGGUAUGAUGAGCCCGCGUUGGAUUAGCUAGUUGGUGGGGUAAAGGCCUACCAAGGCGACGAUCCAUAGCUGGUCUGAGAGGACGAUCAGCCACAUUGGGGCUGAGACACGGCCCAAACUCCUACGGGAGGCAGCAGUGGGGAAUAUUGGACAAUGGGCGCAAGCCUGAUCCAGCCAUGCCGCGUGAGUGAUGAAGGCCCUAGGGUUGUAAAGCUCUUUCACCGGUGAAGAUAAUGACGGUAACCGGAGAAGAAGCCCCGGCUAACUUCGUGCCAGCCGCCGCAGUAA